UCCUCUUUCAUCACUUCUCUCUCAGUUAUCCAAAACUCAUCUUUCUUUUCUUUUAUCUUCCGAGUUCUGCAACUCUUCUCCAUCUAUCUCCAUCUCCUCCAAGAGAUUAGAAUUUGAAACCCAACUUCAACAAUAAUAGUGAAAUAGAAGAAUCAAGAUAAUCAUCGUUUUUUUUAUGAUAUCCCCAAACCCUUUCUUCAUCUCCUCUACCAAAGUUUCUUUAUCACCUACACAACGAAAACCCUAUCUUCUAAAUUAUGUGCAUCGUCAUUAAACAAGCCCUUUAUUCCACCUCGUUCUUAUUGAUGUCUUCUAUUAUUUUUUUCGUUUUCUGGAAACAGAAACAGAACCAUUUCUUAGAUCUGUAACCAAUUUCUUAGAUUUGUAACAUGUAAUCUCAAUUGUGAACCAUUCUUAAAUCCAUUUUUUUUGCCUUUAUCUGUUAGGGUUCUAAUCAACUACUCUUCUAUUUCGUAAACGGAACCCCUUUUAUUUCAACAUCGGUAGUAUAUCAGAGAAGAGUACCACAAAAAUCAGAGAAGAUGUUCUGGUUAUUAUCAUUGGAUUUAUUUGUGUUAUGUUUUAUUCGAAGUAAUACAUCUACAAAGCAGCCAUCAGGGAUCAUCUGGAACACAUGAUUCUUGGGGACCUCAAAUUAAGGGUCUUACUUGAGACACCAAAUGAUGAGAUGAACAUCAUUAGAAACGAUUCAUUUGUUUUAUUGAUGAUCUCAGUGGAGUAAGAAAUAGAAUUGACUAUUGAGGUUUGUGCAUUUGAUAAUUGUGGAAUGGGCUAGAGUUCGAUACCCACUAGAAAAUCUGAACACAUGGUAAUUUCUAUCACCCCCUCUUGUGAAUUCGAUUUGAUUUUUAUUAGAUACACAAAAAUAGUGUGAUUUUCAUUCAUUUUUGAAAAUUGUUGUAAUGAUACAAGACAACAAUAUGGCAAAAGAUGCAUUAGCAUUAAUUGAUCAUUUAGGUUGGGGUAAAGCUCAUGCUUUCAAUCAUUUAAGUUGACAACCCCCUUAUUUUCAUUUGGAUAACUUGUUGUAUAAUCUCUGCUCAGGGAAUGUUGAAAUUCUUCAAAUGGGUUUCUUGGUAUGAAACUCAAAUUGGAAUUUCAUAUUCUCCCAAUUAUGGAGCUCAUGGUCUGAAAUAUUUUGGUUAGUCCUAUUUUUUGUAGGCAUGCUUCGUAUGAUUUGGUUGCUCUGAAUUUUGGAGAUACUUAGAUUAAGACCGUAUGAUAUGUUCCAGUUGUACCGAAGAAUUUGUGACUUACUGGACUUUUGGUUUUGUAAAUAUAGAAUUUGUGAUUGAUAAGUUACAUUACUGAGAGCUCCACAAGUACCAGGGGCCAUCAAUUAUUUCAUGGAAUUCCUCUUGUGGUCAUUUAAUUUGCAUCCAAGUGAUGAUUUGAAAAUCCUAACUAUUUCUUCUUAUCUGAUAUAUGAUAUCGGGCAUGCCAAGCUUGCAGGUUUGCUUCCACAUUACAGGUUAUGUAAGUUUCAUUUUUCUUUUCCUUGCCUCGUUUUAAAGUUAAUCAACAUCUGAGUUGUUUUACUGUUCUUAUGUCUCAUUGGAUAUGUUAUUUGUAUUGGUUUCUGUUUAUCUUGCAAUGCCACAGACUCCCGUUUCACUCCAUCCUUGAUUGACAGGGGAUAUUGCGAUUGGAUCCUUAAUGGAAGAGAAAGUUGAGGUGGAGGAUAUUGUUGCAGAACCGAUUCUGGAUAUUGUCCAUGAUAAAUAUGCUCAUUACAAGAAAACUGAGGUUGAUUAUCUCAGUUUUGUUGUGACAUUGUUUGAUUUUCCUGUUCCAUUUAAUCAAAGUGUACGAUUGAAAAUCAACUGAUUCAUAGUCUUACUUGCUCUAGUGACAUUCUUCAAUUUGAACCUUCGUAUGCUUUCACAAUUGUUCCAAUUAAAAAUGUAUUUUACUUUAAUAUACUUGCUUUAUUACUGAAAUCCUAAAAAACUUCAAAUGGAAGAAUGCAAACUUUGGGUAAUGUUAGAUGGGUUAGGCUUGUAACACGGAGGUUGAGGUAAUGACUAAACCUUGCUUAUUUUGCAUAAUUCUAGCUGUGUAUUUACCAAGUAUAUGGUUUAACAGUUAGACAUCAACGAGAAGAUGAGGGUCAUUCUAGUUGUUUCGGUAAAUGUUUCACUUAUAUGUCACAGACCUGUUUUCAAGUAUGCUUUGUUUUUCCAGCUUCGGCAUUAACAUUCUAACACAUCAUAAACAUGUAUGCAGAAGAAAUUGAUUGUAAAUACAUUACAAUUCUAUAUUUCAGUUCUAACUUCAUAUGUAUGUAUGAAAAAAAUCUUUAAAGGGGCUUAGUCUGAUAAAAAGGUCUGUAUAGUUCGUCUUCCUUUAGAUUAAACUGUUGAUCCAUAGUAUUUGAUAACAUUUAUAACUUGGAUACUUGUACAUUUUUUGCGUCUUGAACCAGAUUGAGCUUCUCUCUUUUUCUUUGAUCAAGCUUUCGUUGGUUGAGUAUGACAUGCCUAAAUUCCCACCAUGUCUAUUAGCUGAUGCAACUAUCCUUUAUAUACUAUUAUUUUCCAAUGCAGAUCCUUGAAAAAGUUAAACUUGCAUAUGGCGUCCAUUAGCAUUGUUUUCCUUUACUGCAGGGAUGGGGUUUCUUAGGAGACCACUUGCUAUUGUUGCUUCUUUCAUGACCGUCAUUAGCAUUUCUUUCCUAAAUGAUUGAUAUCAUCGUUUUUUCCUCUAGUUCUUUCAUUUGAUAUAUAGAAAUCAAAUAAUAUGUGUUGUGCUAUAAUGCACAACACAUUCUAAUUGUCACCAUCAUACCAUUGUUGUUAAUCUUUGACUGCUAUUUUUCAAGAAGUAUAUGUGUUGUGCUAUAAUGCUCUUACAAUUGACAGAACUUCAAUCAUUCUAAUUGCAUGCACUUUUCUUCUCUUAUUAGCUUGUCCAAUCUGCUUACGAUUCUGUGUUGGGUCAUCUAGUUAGAGCCAUUUGCUGGUUAUUAUGGAGUCAUUGGUCACCACAUAAAAAUAAAUGGCAUUGUUCUAAACUUCAUCGAUUUCCAACUGUACUUAUUUCAGGCACCCAUACAAAGUUAUUUGUGCGCUCACUUCUAAUGGAUAUGCUCUUCUUUUAGAAAGAAUUCCAUGGUCGGAGACGAAGAAGGGACAAAAGAGAUAGCACCAGGGAAGAUGAAAGUCCAGUUUUCAUGCAGGUGCAUCCUGGAACGAAAAUAACAAGCGAUCGGUAUUGCAAUUGAGAGCCCAAGGUUGAAAAAACUUUAGGAAGCUAUUACGAAUUUGUUUUGUUAUGUAUAAACAAUUGAAGUGGGUGUAUAUUCAGGUUUUCAUAUAUUGUGAACUUGGGUAGUAGUUAGAAAUUGAAGUGUAAAUUGAAUCUAGCUUUUAAUGUAAAUAUUUACUUUGUUUCCAUGUUAA